UAAACGACUCUCGGCAACGGAUAUCUCGGCUCUCGCAUCGAUGAAGAACGUAGCGAAAUGCGAUACUUGGUGUGAAUUGCAGAAUCCCGCGAACCAUCGAGUCUUUGAACGCAAGUUGCGCCCGAAGCCACUAGGUUGAGGGCACGUCUGCCUGGGCGUCUCGC
rnacentral:rRNA from 1 species